rnacentral:rRNA from 1 species
GACGAACGCUGGCGGCGUGCUUAACACAUGCAAGUCGAGCGGUAAGGCUCCUUCGGGAGUACACGAGCGGCGAACGGGUGAGUAACACGUGAGUAAUCUCCCCUUCACUUCGGGAUAACCACCGGAAACGGUGGCUAAUACCGAAUACGACCAGUCUUCGCAUGAGGUGCUGGUGGAAAGUCUUUUCGGUGAAGGAUGUGCUCGCGGCCUAUCAGCUUGUUGGUGGGGUAAUGGCCUACCAAGGCUUCGACGGGUAGCCGGCCUGAGAGGGUGACCGGCCACACUGGGACUGAGACACGGCCCAGACUCCUACGGGAGGCAGCAGUGGGGAAUAUUGGACAAUGGGCGAAAGCCUGAUCCAGCAACGCCGCGUGAGGGAUGACGGCCUUCGGGUUGUAAACCUCUUUCAGUACCGACGAAGCGCCCUGUCGGGUGGUGACGGUAGGUACAGAAGAAGGACCGGCCAACUACGUG